rnacentral:tRNA from 1 species
AUAGUUUUAGUUUAUAUAAAAAUAAUAAAUUUUGAGUUUAGAGAAAAUAUAAUAAUUAAACUAUA